UGGUGUGUGUUUAAUGAUGUCAAAAAAGGCAAACAAAAAGAAAAAGUUGAAAGAAAUUGACAAUAUUUCAACUUUUUUUCAUUGUUGGUCUAUUUCCCAGCAUCCUAUAGUUGAAUUUUAGCUAACACUCUUUUCAUGGAUGCGAAGAAAUGACCUGGUUUUUGCCUUUAUCAAAAACAAACAACCCCUCCUUUAAAAAAAAGCUUCAUUUUGCAUUGACUAGGCGUACAGGAUCGCAUGUUCUCCUGUACGCCUUUUUCUUUCGUUUGUUAACAUCAUGUUAACAAAGAUCGUCCACAUUUUGCUAUUAUUCGUAUGUCUUUCUUCUAUUUCUCGCUCGCUUCAUACUGCAAAAGGUGAUGAUCAAAAUACAUUAUUAUUAGCAUGUGGUUCGGAAAAUGGUGGAACGGAUGAAGAUGAGAGAAAAUGGGAGCCAGACGCGAAAUAUCUAAUUUCAGGUGAUAAAUCAGUCAUUUCACAACCUGAAUCUCAAGGCCCUUCUUCUCCAUCUGUUGUGCCAUAUAUAAAUGCAAGAAUUUUUCAAUCUGAAUCUUCAUAUAACCUUCCUGUUAAAAACCAAACAACUUAUAUUUUACUCAGGCUUUAUUUCAAUCCAUCUCCUUAUCCUAAUUUCAAUAUUUCCAAUUCAUAUAUCACAGUUUCUGUAGGUAAAUUUACAUUAUUAAGCAAUUUCAGUGCCUUUAUUACAGCUCAAGCCUUUUCACAAAGUUACAUAAUUAAAGAAUAUAUUUUAACUCCUGUUAAUUCUCCAACCCUGGAAAUCAAAAUUAAGCCUUUUGGUAAUAACAGCUCAAGCCUUUUCACAAAGUUACAUUAUUAAAGAAUAUAUUUUAACUCCUGUUAAUUCUCCAACCCUGGAAAUCAAAAUUAAGCCUUUUGGUGAUUCACCAUUUGCAUUUAUUAAUGGAAUUGAAA
rnacentral:lncRNA from 1 species